ACCCUCCAGAUUCCUUGCCCCUCAGAUCAAAAUACUGGUCUGAGAGGAUAAAAAGGAGGGAAAGUAAAACUGAAGUGGACUUGGAGUCUCUAAUAACCUACAAGUUCAUUUCAAAAUAAU
ensembl:snoRNA